UUUCGAGAGUUGAAGAAACAUCAAAACGAUUUUUCCAGCUGGUGUGGAGAUUGUCGACGUGAGAAAAAAGAAAGACAACAUCUGUCAGUUGCUGCUACCAAACUGGAAUUGCUGAAGAGGGAUGGUAUAUCUGCAUCCUGAGUCAUUAAUUUCUCUCAAGUUUUGCUUGUGAAGCUGUAAGAUAGCAGAAUUCUCACCCUUGCCAAGUGGCAAUUCUUUCUUUCUUCUUUCUUGCUGUUUCAGUCCUUUUGUGUUAAAAUUGUCCUAGGCUUUUGUUGGUUAUUAAUGAAGGGUGCAUCUUGUAUUCUCUCUUUCCAAGUUGGAUUGAAAUCUGUCUAAUGCAAUGUUGUCUUAUUUGCUUUCAAAA